GAGAGUUCAGAGUACGUGAAACCGUUCAGGGGUAAACCUAAGAAACCCAAAAGAUCGAACGGGGAGAUUCAUCGUCAGCGGCGCUGGCUUCGCGUCGGUGGGCGAUGUCCCGCGGGGCCCUCGCGGCUCGCUUGCGCGGGCACGCUACCGUGCGUCGACGUCCGGCGUUCGUAGUCGUGCACUUCUCCCCUAGUAGAACGUCGCGACCCGCUGGAUGUCGGUCUACGGCCCGGGUGCGGUGACUGCCGCGUCGCCGGUAAAACGGCACGCGCGCAAACCCCCGGUCGCCCGGCCGGCUGUCCGGCGGUACACGCAAGGUAUCAGGCCGCACAAUUGCCGUUGCGUCGAGGCCGUCGCAAGCGCGCGCCACGGUUACUCGGAGGUUACGGACCUAGCGCCGUCCCCGGUCCUGGCCCGCUGUUGGUCGUACGGUUCACCUUCGACAGGCCCGCGAACGUCCCGCCCCCCUCCCCUUCCGGGGGGAGGGGGGGCCAGGGGACCGAUACCGGUCGGCGACGCUACUGCUUUGGGUACUCUUAGGACCCGUCUUGAAACACGGACCAAGGAGUCUAACAUGUACGCGAGUCAUUGGGACUUAGCGACACCUAAAGGCGUAAUGAAAGUGAAGGUCGGCCCUGGUCGUCGACCGAGGGAGGAUGGGGCCGCGUCGCGACGCGGCCCCGCACUCCCGGGGCGUCUCGUUCUCAUCGCGAGAAGAGGCGCACCCAGAGCGUACACGUUGGGACCC
rnacentral:rRNA from 2 species